rnacentral:rRNA from 1 species
UUGAACGCUGGCGGCAUGCUUUACCCAUGCCAGUCGCACGGCAGCGCGGGCUUCGGCCUGGCGGCGAGUGGCGAACGGGUGAGUAAUGCAUCGGAACGUGCCCAGUAGUGGGGGAUAGCCCGGCGAAAGCCGGAUUAAUACCGCAUACGACCUGAGGGUGAAAGCGGGGGACCGAAAGGCCUCGCGCUAUUGGAGCGGCCGAUGUCGGAUUAGCUAGUUGGUGGGGUAAAGGCUUACCAAGGCGACGAUCCGUAGCUGGUCUGAGAGGACGACCAGCCACACUGGGACUGAGACACGGCCCAGACUCCUACGGGAGGCAGCAGUGGGGAAUUUUGGACAAUGGGGGCAACCCUGAUCCAGCCAUGCCGCGUGCGGGAAGAAGGCCUUCGGGUUGUAAACCGCUUUUGUUCGGGAAGAAAUCCUCUGGGCUAAUACCCCGGGGGGAUGACGGUACCGGAAGAAUAAGCACCGGCUAACUACGCG